AUGGAGGCAGAGUCGCUGAGUUGCAGUUUACUUUUUAGCGGUAUUGCAGUCCCGUCGGAGGCGUCUGGAACAAACUUGAGCUUCGAUGGUGACUUUCCGAAUUGUGUUAUGUUGGAGAUGGAAGGGUUUUUGAAGGUUUUUGGCAUCUGUUUAUGGCCUGGUUUUAGUACAGGGCUAUGGCUUGGCCUCAUUAUGCAAGUUUCUUGGAUGUAUUAUGGUGCAGAUUUUGCAGUAUGA